rnacentral:rRNA from 1 species
UGGGGAAUAUUGCACAAUGGGCGCAAGCCUGAUGCAGCGACGCCGCGUGGGGGAUGACGGCCUUCGGGUUGUAAACUCCUUUCGCUAGGGACGAAGCUUUUUGUGACGGUACCCAGAUAAGAAGCACCGGCUAACUACGUGCCAGCAGCCGCGGUAAUACGUAGGGUGCGAGCGUUGUCCGGAAUUACUGGGCGUAAAGGGCUCGUAGGUGGUUUGUCGCGUCGUCUGUGAAAUUCCGGGGCUUAACUCCGGGCGUGCAGGCGAUACGGGCAUAACUUGAGUACUGUAGGGGUAACUGGAAUUCCUGGUGUAGCGGUGAAAUGCGCAGAUAUCAGGAGGAACACCGAUGGCGAAGGCAGGUUACUGGGCAGUUACUGACGCUGAGGAGCGAAAGCAUGGGUAGCGAACAGG